AAGCCUUACAAAUCACUUCGACAACAGA
rnacentral:piRNA from 1 species